AUACGGAGGGUGCAAGCGUUACUCGGAAUCACUGGGCGUAAAGCGCGCGCAGGCGGCUAUUUAAGUUGGAUGUGAAAGCCUAUGGCUCAACCAUAGAACUGCAUCCAAAACUAUUUAGCUAGAGUGUGGGAGAGGAAGAUGGAAUUAGUUGUGUAGGGGUAAAAUCCGUAGAGAUAACUAGGAAUACCAAAAGCGAAGGCAAUCUUCUGGAACACUACUGACGCUGAGGUGCGAAAGCGUGGGGAGCAAACAGGAUUAGAAACCCUAGUAGUCC
rnacentral:rRNA from 1 species